rnacentral:rRNA from 1 species
AUCGAACGCUGGCGGCAGGCUUAACACAUGCAAGUCGAGCGGAGAUGAGGUGCUUGCACCUUAUCUUAGCGGCGGACGGGUGAGUAAUGCUUAGGAAUCUGCCUAUUAGUGGGGGACAACAUUCCGAAAGGAAUGCUAAUACCGCAUACGUCCUACGGGAGAAAGCAGGGGAUCUUCGGACCUUGCGCUAAUAGAUGAGCCUAAGUCGGAUUAGCUAGUUGGUGGGGUAAAGGCCUACCAAGGCGACGAUCUGUAGCGGGUUUGGGAGGAUGAUCCGCCACACUGGGACUGAGAAACGGCCCAGACUCCUACGGGAGGCAGCAGUGGGGAAUAUUGGACAAUGGGGGAAACCCUGAUCCAGCCAUGCCGCGUGUGUGAAGAAGGCCUUAUGGUUGUAAAGCACUUUAAGCGAGGAGGAGGCUACUGAGACUAAUACUCUUGGAUAGUGGACGUUACUCGCAGAAUAAGCACCGGCUAACUCUGUGCCAGCCGCCGCCGUAA